UACGUAGGGGGCGAGCGUUGUCCGGAUUUAUUGGGCGUAAAGAGCGUGUAGGCGGCCAGGUAGGUCUGCUGUGAAAACUCGAGGCUCAACCUCGAGACGUCGGCGGAAACCAUCUGGCUAGAGUCCGGAAGAGGAGAGUGGAAUUCCUGGUGUAGCGGUGAAAUGCGCAGAUAUCAGGAAGAACACCCGUGGCGAAGGCGGCCCACUGGGCCGGUGCUGACGCUGAGGCGCGAAGGCGUGGGGAGCGAACGGG
rnacentral:rRNA from 1 species